rnacentral:rRNA from 1 species
AACGAACGCUGGCGGCAUGCCUAACACAUGCAAGUCGAACGAGACCUUCGGGUCUAGUGGCGCACGGGUGCGUAACGCGUUGGAUCCUGCCCUUAGGUUCGGAAUAACUCCCCGAAUGGGGUGCUAAUACCGGAUAUUGUCUUCGGACCAAAGAUUUAUCGCCUUUGGAUGGGCCCGCGUUGUAUUAGAUAGUUGGUAGGGUAAAAGCCUACCAAGGGGACGUUCCAUAGCUGGUAUGAGAGGAUGAUCAGCGACACUGGUACUGAGACACGGCGCAGACUACUACGGGAGGCAGCAGUGGGGAAUAUAGGAAAGUGGGGGAAAGGCUGAUCAAGCAAUGCCGGGUGAGUGAUGAAGGCGUUAGGGUAGUAAAGCUAUUUUACCCGGGAUGAUAAUGACAGUACCGGGAGAAUAAGCUCCGGCUAACUCCGUG